UGGGGAAUCUUGCGCAAUGGGGGAAACCCUGACGCAGCAACGCCGUGUGUGCGAUGAAGGCCCUCGGGUCGUAAAGCACUGUCAACAGGGAAGAUGGGUUCAUAUUUUAAUAGAGUAUGGAUUUGACGGUACCUGUGGAGGAAGCACCGGCUAACUCUGUGCCAGCAGCCGCGGUAAGACAGAGGGUGCAAGCGUUGUUCGGAAUUAUUGGGCGUAAAGCGCGCGUAGGCGGCGAGUUAAGUCGGAUGUGAAAGCCCGGGGCUCAACCUCGGAAGUGCAUCCGAAACUGGCUUGCUUGAAUCUUGGAGGGGGCAGUGGAAUUCCCGGUGUAGAGGUGAAAUUCGUAGAUAUCGGGCGGAACACCAGUGGCGAAGGCGACUGCCUGGACGGGUACUGACACUGAGGCGCGAAAGCGUGGGGAGCAAACAGGAUUAGAUACCCGGGUAGUCC
rnacentral:rRNA from 1 species